UUUGGAUGCUCCUGCAUCAUAUUGCCCUGUGCUGGAGAAAGUGAUUCAAGUUGAUUUCGGCAUGGUAUAAUAGUGGGUAUUGAUUGAUAUUUCAUGGUUAUGUAAUGGUGUAGAAGAAUUUGAAGACAUAAUUAGUAUAUGGUAGUGGUUGAGGUGGUAUCAAAUCACCAGAUUUGGGGGAGAGAACAUAAUUUUGGGGUGAGGAUCGACGUCUGGGGACAAUCUAUCAUCAGAAUGAUAUUAUGAGAAUAACACUUAAUCCUUGAAUCAAAAUAGCUAACAUCCUGAUUAAAAGAAUUGUGAACUUCGG
rnacentral:misc_RNA from 1 species